AUGAACGCUGGCGGCGUGCCUCAUCCCUGCCGGUCGAACGCUUCACUUCGGUGAAGAGUGGCGAACGGGUGAGUAAUACAUAAGUAACCUGGCAUCUACAGGGGGAUAACUGAUGGAAACGUCAGCUAAGACCGCAUAGGUGUAGAGAUCGCAUGAACUCUAUAUGAAAAGUGCUACGGGACUGGUAGAUGAUGGACUUAUGGCGCAUUAGCUUGUUGGUAGGGUAACGGCCUACCAAGGCGACGAUGCGUAGCCGACCUGAGAGGGUGACCGGCCACACUGGGACUGAGACACGGCCCAGACUCCUACGGGAGGCAGCAGUAGGGAAUUUUCGGCAAUGGGGGAAACCCUGACCGAGCAACGCCGCGUGAAGGAAGAAGUAAUUCGUUAUGUAAACUUCUGUCAUAGAGGAAGAACGGUGGAUAUAGGGAAUGAUAUCCAAGUGACGGUACUCUAUAAGAAAGCCACGGCUAACUACGUG
rnacentral:rRNA from 1 species